UACGGAGGGUGCAAGCGUUAUCCGGAUUCACUGGGUUUAAAGGGUGCGUAGGUGGGUUGGUAAGUCAGUGGUGAAAUCCCCGAGCUUAACUUGGGAACUGCCAUUGAUACUAUCAGUCUUGAAUACCGUGGAGGUUAGCGGAAUAUGUCAUGUAGCGGUGAAAUGCUUAGAUAUGACAUAGAACACCAAUUACGAAGGCAGCUGGCUACACGAAUAUUGACACUGAGGCACGAAAGCGUGGGGAUCAAACAGG
rnacentral:rRNA from 1 species